UCUUCUGAAAGGUAAUUGAAGUGUUCCCCGUAAAGCACUUAGAACAAUGCCUGGCACAAUCACCGUUCACUCAAGGGUGACUCUUUAUUACCACAGCAACCCCUGGCUUAAUUGACAUUAACCAAUGUGAGUGUCAGCUAUAUAGGUGGUAAUGAAAGGGAGUGAAAUAAACUGGCAAGGUCAGAAGUGGGGUAAGUUCAGUCAGUCUUCUGCUUAACACGUGGACUCUACCAAUGUUCAAGGGAUUGUGAUUUUCAGUAAUAUAAUUGUAAUUAGUCCUUGACUUUAUCAUUGAACCCAAUAUGUUGUUGUCCCCAUUCAUAUCAAAUGGUGGAGAAAAAUCUCUAAAGAGCCAUGGAAAAUACUGACAUAAAUGUGUAGUCACUAAUUAAAGGCAAAGGUAUUGAUUAAUGGUAUCAUGAACAUGUCUGAUAUAUAACUGGAUAUUUUACAUGUGGAAACAACACUCAGGUCUCUGCAGCAAUGUUUUCAUGCAGAAAGCUUGUAUUAAAGAUUUCCAGAGAUAUAAAACCAAUAGAUUAUUUAUCCAUCUAUCUAUAGAGAGUGAUUUAUUUUAAGAAAUUGAUUCAUGUGAUUAUGGAGGCUGGCAAGUCCUAAAUCUGCAGGAUGGGCUGGCAGCCUGGAGUCUCAGGAAGGCUAACUUGAUGCUUUUGCUUUUACACCUCUGAAUUGAUCACAUUGCCUUUCAGGAAAGAUCAAGCUAUGAAAAGGCUUGCUGUGAAGGGGAGGAUCACCUCAGACUGUCUACCCUAGCUAUCCAUGCCUUGAUGGUGCCAUCACUACAACAUGAGAGAGGAUGGCAGAGGACAGUGUUCAAGUAUUUGGGUUCUGGACUCAGACUGAAGUGGGUUUGAAUCCUUGCUUUUCCAUUUAUCAGCUGUGUUAUCACUGGACACAUUACUCAGUUACUCUGUGUGUUGUCUGCAAAAAAUUGAGGCUAAAAUGUCUACAUCAUAAAGGGUUAUUGGAAGGAGUCAAUGUGAUAUAAAGACCACGGAGGAAUCACAGUUUGACAUUCUCAUGGCCUUAACACUGAGACUCAGACAGCUUUAUAGAGAAAGAAUUUUUUUUUAAGUGCAGUACAGGAAAGGGGACUGUACCCAAGAGAUCCAGAAGGGCUGUGUGGACUAGCCACACAAAAUACAGCAAAAGUUGUCAGGGGCCAGUGUCUUAUCUAAUACAGGUUUAUUCAUUUAUGUGCUUAUUCAACAAAGAUAUGAGUGCUACUACACUCACAAAUUCUUGCAUGAUCUAGUUACCCUGGUAAGUGCAGAGUCGUACAUUUGGGCAUGUUUCAGAGUGAAAGCGAUGCUAUUUGGAAUUACUCAGGGACAACAGGUGAAAUCAGGACAUACAGUCACUAUACUGGGGAAAAUGUCUGGGAUUAGGAGAAAGAGUAAAUAGUCAACCUUUAAAGCUUUGUCUGUGCCCUCGCUCACUUCCACACUCAUUCUCCCUUACUCCAGAGUGACGGUGUAUGAUGAAAGAGGAAGUGCAUUCAAUUGGCUCAAGAAUCAGGACCAAUCACAGUUUGGAGAAAGCAUUGUACUGAAAUAAGUGUUUUUAUUGUCUCAACUUGCCAUAGUUUGUCAAUUUUGUGAGACGCAUGUGCUUGAAAGUGAAAAAGCCCUACAACAAUCACACUGAAA